GGUCGUAUGCCCGAGUGGUCAGGGAGCCGCCUGCAAAGCGGCCUACGCCGGUUCGAAUCCGGCUACGACCUCCA
rnacentral:tRNA from 1 species